rnacentral:pre_miRNA from 1 species
UUAACUCAAAUUUGUAUGCAUUUGGAACAAUGCCCCUAGCGGCAAACGUAGGCAAACGUCCAACUCCAUACAGAUUUGAGUUA